GAUGAACGCUAGCGGCAGGCCUAACACAUGCAAGUCGAGGGGUAGAGGAAGCUUGCUUCCUUGAGACCGGCGCACGGGUGCGUAACGCGUAUGCAAUCUACCUUAUACAGAGGGAUAGCCCAGAGAAAUUUGGAUUAAUACCUCAUAGUAUUAUGAAAUCGCAUGGUUUUAUAAUUAAAGUUCCAACGGUAUAAGAUGAGCAUGCGUCCCAUUAGUUAGUUGGUAAGGUAACGGCUUACCAAGACAAUGAUGGGUAGGGGUCCUGAGAGGGAGAUCCCCCACACUGGUACUGAGACACGGACCAGACUCCUACGGGAGGCAGCAGUGAGGAAUAUUGGUCAAUGGACGCAAGUCUGAACCAGCCAUGCCGCGUGCAGGAUGACGGUCCUAUGGAUUGUAAACUGCUUUUAUACAGGAAGAAACACUCCCUCGUGAGGGAACUUGACGGUACUGUAGGAAUAAGGAUCGGCUAACUCCGUGCCAGCCGCCGCGGUAAGAC
rnacentral:rRNA from 1 species